rnacentral:rRNA from 1 species
UACGUAGGUGGCAAGCGUUGUCCGGAUUUACUGGGCGUAAAGAGCGCGCAGGCGGUCGAGUAAGUCGAAUGUGAAAGCCCCCGGCUUAACUGGGGAGGGUCAUUCGAUACUGUUCGACUUGAAGGCAGGAGAGGGCAGCAGAAUUCCCGGUGUAGUGGUGAAAUGCGUAGAUAUCGGGAGGAAUACCGGUGGCGAAGGCGGCAUCCUGGACCGACAUUGACGCUGAUGAGCGAAAGCUAGGGGAGCAAACGGGG